UAGGCAGUCACAAAUACACGACGCCGCGAAGCGCAAGCGACACCAACGAAACUAAACUAAGUGGAACUGAAACAUCUGCCGGUCGAACCGCAUGACAAAUCCCACCAAGCCCCGUCCCGCGGAGCCCCGGGUGCAUAUCGCGAACCGUUCCAACUUUUUUUUGCUUUCCUCCAUUUAUUCCGCGAGUUUUUCUUUCUUUUGUUUUCUCAGACUUCCCGCCUUGCGUUUUGUUUUUCCCUGGAACACAGAAAAAUCCAUGCACAUUUCGGCGGGAGCAGGGGCUAUCGUAAACGAGAACGGGACAAAUAGUCGUUUAGGGAGAACAUGGAAAAAGAGCAAAAAAAGCUCCAGACGACCACCCAAUGUCGGUGCGCUCCCUCGCUCCCGAUGGGGAUCGAGCAUGUGUAUUGGUCGUGCUUCGUUUCUUGGAUUGGACUCGGAACGCGAAUCGGUUGGCGCUAGUGCAAGCUGACGGGAACUCUGGACUCGGUUCCCGAUUUGGAGCAGACUGGGGCGAUAUAAUAAUUUUCCCCGCCUACUCGCGCUUGGUGGGGAAACCUGUUCGAAUGCUUUGGAGGCAUGUACCGUCGUCUCUGGGUUGCUUGGAUCCACCGCACGUUAUCGGGGCUGGCGUGGAACGGGGCGGACAAAUGGUAAAACAAAUCGGUUGCAUGUUCGUCUUUUAUGCGAUGCUCCCGUUGUACACAAUCUCAUAAUCCCGGGGCGGGCGGUCGACAUUCUUUUGUUUCUUGGAUACAAUGAGUGGAACAGUUUGACGAAGCGGUCACCAUUCAGCCGAUUUUGCAAGUCUGCACGUAGUAAGUGUAAAGCUCGAUUGUGACAAUGGAUAAAGUAAAAGAACGUCUCAUGAGUUGCUUCUGCCAUGGUACGAAACCGUAAACCAUCUUCGUUCCUCUUUAAUCUUUGAGUAGAUGGUCUACUAAAUCUAACAUUACCUUGAAGAUUAUAUAGGUGCAUCGAAACCUUUAACUACAAAGUCUAAAAAGCCUGAAAAUAUCUAGGCGUCACAUUAGAAUAAAAUAUCCUGUAAUCAACAGUUAUCCAAGUAAAGAAAUAGCAAUGAAAAUGUGAGAGUAAU